rnacentral:rRNA from 2 species
GACAGAGGGUGCAAACGUUGUUCGGAAUUACUGGGCGUAAAGCGAGUGUAGGCGGUUUCCUAAGUCGGAUGUGAAAGCCCCGGGCUCAACCCGGGAAGUGCACUCGAAACUGGGAGGCUAGAGUAUCGGAGAGGUUGGUGGAAUUCUCGGUGUAGAGGUGAAAUUCGUAGAUAUCGAGAGGAACACCGGUGGCGAAGGCGGCCAACUGGACGAAUACUGACGCUGAGACUCGAAAGCGUGGGGAGCAAACAGG